rnacentral:rRNA from 1 species
UACGUAGGGGGCAAGCGUUGUCCGGAUUUAUUGGGCGUAAAGAGCGUGUAGGCGGCCAUACAGGUCCGUUGUGAAAACUGGAGGCUUAACCUCCAGACGUCGAUGGAAACCGUAUGGCUAGAGUCCGGAAGAGGAGAGUGGAAUUCCUGGUGUAGCGGUGAAAUGCGCAGAUAUCAGGAAGAACACCCGUGGCGAAGGCGGCUCUCUGGGCCUUACCUGACACUGAGGAGCGAAAGCGUGGGGAGCGAACAGG